rnacentral:lncRNA from 1 species
GGGUUGACGCAGUGGUCCUUUGUUGCGUUGUAGUAUGAAUCCAUGGAGAUUUGGGUCCCUGUUUUGAUCAGUGUUUUGCUGGUUUGUUGCACUGGUUCUUGUCUUAGAUCUUACAAUCUUAGCCAACUUCAAAAUUGAAGGAGAAAUUAAAUUACUUAAGGAUGAAUUUAAGUUUUUUUGAUAAAAAUCAGAGGUUAAUUUAUGCAUUCAUCA